GAUGAACGCUAGCUACAGGCUUAACACAUGCAAGUCGAGGGACCGGCGCACGGGUGAGUAACACGUAUCCAACCUGCCCUUUACUCGGGGAUAGCCUUUCGAAAGAAAGAUUAAUACCCGAUGUAAAGGAUGGGGAUGCGUUCCAUUAGGUUGUUGGUGAGGUAACGGCUCACCAAGCCUUCGAUGGAUAGGGGUUCGGAGAGGAAGCCCCACAACAUUGGAACCGAGCCACGGUCCAAAAUCAUACAGGAGGCAGCACAGAGGAAUAUUGGGCAAUGGGCGUUAGACUGAACCAGCCAAGUAGCGUGAAGGAUGACGGCUUAUGGGACGAAAACUACUAUUAUAUAAGACGAGGUAUUAUAUGAAUAAGGAUCGGCUAACUCCGUGCCAGCAGCCGCGGUAAUUC
rnacentral:rRNA from 1 species